GCAAAACUGAAAUUUCAACUAUUUUGUACUUGGAUUUCAGUUUCACAUAUGUCAAUUCUUUCAUACAAACUGCAGUAAUAUUUUGGAAUAAAAGGCUGUAUUCCANNNNNNNNNNNCCCCCCCCCCCCCCCCUCCACACACACACAUAUUGGGAAAACUGUAAAGGGACUUACUGAGCCUGAUAAAGUUGUAAUAUUGUCUGCUUUUUCAGCAGCUGAUUGUAUCCUUCAUGUUCUAUAAAGACCUUUCAUGGCUAAUCAAUCAGUAAUGAUUUGCUUAAUAUGUUACUGAGCCUACCAGAUAAAGAUCACUCUCAUAUGGUGGUGAACUGUAAAAUGCUUGUUGCCUAUUUAAAAAACUAAAUUAAUAUGAGGUGUUGUAAAGCACAGCUCUGAGGAUAGGGAAAGAUUCUUUCAAUUAGUUUUACACAUCUGGGCAGUAGUUGUGUACUUCAGCCAGAUGUACUAGGAUUGUAUUGAAGUGAAAAAACAACUGCUAAAAACCUCAACAAGUGCAUUUGUUGUUUCAUGGAAUAUUUUAAUACUAUAUGCUUUAUUCUCAGCAGUGCUCAUGGUCUCAGAUGGUGAAUGCCCAGCAAAUGUGAGAAUACAGUCAUUUUUUGUUGCAGAUCAUAUUUUACGUCAUGUUUCCCUUAAAAGGGAAGGUCAUUGCCUGCUGCUGAGAGUUUGUGUUUCCCUUUGGACAAGUGUGAGAGUCAGAAAGGUCUACAAAUCUUUUCCUUAAGCAUCACAUAUUUGAAUGUUCACCUGAGUAAGAGAUUAGACAGAAAAAAAUGAGCUCCUGUUCCUACAAGAGAAUCCAUACUGGCUUUGGAACAGGGAGGUCAUUCUAUUCUUCUUCCCUCUGAACAAAGGUGAACUACCCCAAGAGCAACCCAAACACAACUGCCUCUGUGUGUUCACAGUAACAGUAACAUGAAAAUUAUUUUCUCCUUAAGAGUAUGAGACACAGUGACAUAGACUGUGAAAUACUGUUUUCUUGAACACUGUGCAAAAGAUGGAAAAGAAGAAGCUGCGUUAUUUCUGGACAGCGUAUGUUCCUGUAGCUAUGUGCACAGCAGAGUAUGUAGUGUGGGAAAAAUAGAACAGUCUACAGGCUGUAUCACAUUGUAGGUACAGAAGAACUAGAAAUUUCUCUGUUUGCAAUUGCUUUCAGAUGAGCAGCCAACCCAUCUUUGGCCAGGUGGGGUGCCUGACAAGUGUCUGAGGAGGCGGCCUGUCCCAAGGAUGUACUGACUGACAAGGUGUGUGUGCUGAGUGAUUCUUAGUGAGUGAGGCACUUCUACGACUGGACAAAAUAUAAUGUUUUUCUUACCCAAUAGCUUGACUGUCAAAAUAUACACAUGCUAUUUGUCAUUCAAAGACUCCAUCCUCUCUUCCUGCUACUUCUGAAACCAAAGCUAGGCAGGCAGCUUCACUCACACCAAUUGCAAUGCUGCUGAUAGCAGAAUGCCUUCUGUAGAUCAAAGACUGGGGGAAAUGCAGCUGUGGUCCUGUGUGGUGGGACCUGAACACAGGAGUCCUUACUUGACUCUCAGAGAGAUCACCCCCAAAGCAAUCUGGCUAGAGUUUAAGGGAGGGCUGGGAAAUUAAUGACCUGUAUAUGUUCCCAUUUGUUUCACCUGUGGCAAUUCCCAUGAAGUUUCUCUGACAGUUCCUGUGGUAAGCUGUGUACUAGGAGAAAUCUUAUGUUGCCUCAACUUGUUAAAGAUCUUAGAGCUGCCUGUAGUUCAC
rnacentral:lncRNA from 1 species